AUUGAACGCUGGCGGCAGGCCUAACACAUGCAAGUCGAGCGGAUGAGGAGUGCUUGCACCCCGAUUCAGCGGCGGAGGGGUGAGUAAUGCCUAGGAAUCUGCCUGGUAGUGGGGGACAACGUUUCGAAAGGAACGCUAAUACCGCAUACGUCCUACGGGAGAAAGUGGGGGAUCUUCGGACCUCACGCAAUCAGAUGAGCCUAGGUCGGAUUAGCUAUUUGGUGAGGUAAAGGCUCACCAAGGCGACGAUCCGUAACUGGUCUGAGAGGAUGAUCAGUCACACUGGAACUGAGACACGGUCCAGACUCCUACGGGAGGCAGCAGUGGGGAAUAUUGGACAAUGGGCGAAAGCCUGAUCCAGCCAUGCCGCGUGUGUGAAGAAGGUCUUCGGAUUGUAAAGCACUUUAAGUUGGGAGGAAGGGCUGUAGGCUAAUAUCCUGCAGUUUUGACGUUACCGACAGAAUAAGCACCGGCUAACUUCGUGCCAGCAGCCGCCGUAACAC
rnacentral:rRNA from 1 species